AGACAGAGGUGGCAAGCGUUGUUCGGAUUUACUGGGCGUAAAGGGUGCGUAGGUGGUUAGGUAAGACCUGUGGGAAAGACCUGGGCUUAACCCAGGAAGGUCGCAGGUGACUGCCUAGCUAGAGGGCGGGAGAGGAGCGCGGAAUUCCCGGUGUAGCGGUGAAAUGCGUAGAGAUCGGGAGGAAGGCCGGUGGCGAAGGCGGCGCUCUGGAACGUUCCUGACACUGAGGCACGAAAGCGUGGGGAGCAAACAGGA
rnacentral:rRNA from 1 species